CUUAAAAUGUGAUUCGCAUUUGCUAUAAAUAAGAUGAUUUGGAUGAUUUCUACCGUCAUUUCGAUUUUUGUGUUUGAAGAAAUCUUUUGUUUUUUUCGUUCACUAACAGCAAGUGUUGAGUAACUUUCUAAUUAAAAAACAAAGUCCGAGUCCAAUUAGGAAGAAGACAUAAAUAAUGCAAGUUGUUGGCCAAAUUUGUAUUUUGUCAUUGUUGGCAAUUGGAUUAGUAGAUUCGGGCACGAAAUGCGAUUGUUCGUAUGAAGAUCUAUGCAGUUCCUGGUCAACCAGGCUAAACUGCAUCCAGUAUGGAUGUUACAAGGGCUAUUGUUGGGCAUCGUGCAGAGCGGUUCUUUCAUAUGGUGAAUGGUGCUAUACAACAAAGGGAAGAACUUCAGAUUAUCACUACGUAGCAUGCUCCAUGGAUUUAGAUUGUCUACCAAAUUGGAAGUGCGCCGGACCGUGUGCUUUAUUCAGUUCUUCUAACGAAACUCUUGCUGACUUAACGAACGAGGUAUGAUCCCCAUUGGCGACUGAAGAGUCAAUUUUGCAUUUAUUCACAUUUUUUGCACGAUUUUUUUCUCGAUUUUAUUGUAUCAGAAUUUUAACAUCUAUUGAGAUUGUGAAAGUAAACUUAUGUUUUGCCUUUUGCGUUUCGUGAAUCUCUUUCAAAAUGAAUAGAUUUUCAUUGUAUGUAAUACUACUACUCAUUGAUUUUUGAAAAUAAAGUAGAUUUUGAAUACGUU